AGGCUAGCUGUCAAUAAAAUGUGAAUACUUUAAACGUGCAUUCUUUUUUAAAAAAAUUUGAAUUCAAGUUCAUUAUUUUGGUUUAGAAUUUUCAUUAUUUUUGUGUGAAGUGAUUCAUGAUAUCCAUCAUAAAUUUUCAAUACUCACAAUCCAGAAAUGAUCGUGGUAACGACAACACAAUCCGAAUCGAAACACCACAGAUACAAUAUUGAUGUCAUGAAAAAGUUUGUUAUAAAAUUCUUACGACAGAUGGAUUAUGCGUUCCAGUUUUAAUAUCUUGUUUUGUCUAUGGUAAGCAAGCAGAAGAGAUUGUCUACCCGUUACUAAAAAAAACUAAGUCAUAGGUUUAAUAAAGUAGAGAUAUUAGAGAAAGGC